UGGGGAAUAUUGCACAAUGGGCGAAAGCCUGAUGCAGCGACGCCGCGUGAGGGAUGACGGCCUUCGGGUUGUAAAUCUCUUUCAGUAGGGACGAAGCGCAAGUGACGGUACCUGCAGAAGAAGCACCGGCUAACUACGUGACAGCAGCCGCGGUAAUACGUAGGGUGCGAGCGUUGUCCGGAAUUACUGGGCGUAAAGAGCUCUUAGGGGGUUUGUCACGUCGUCUGUGAAAUCCUAGGGCUUAACCCUGGACGUGCAGGCGAUACGGGCUGACUUGAGUACUACAGGGGAGACUGGAAUUUCUGGUGUAGCGGUGGAAUGCACAGAUAUCAGGGAGAACACCGAUGGCGAACGCAGGUCUCUGGGUAGUAAAUGACGCUGAGGAGCGAAAGCAUGGGUAGCGAACAGG
rnacentral:rRNA from 1 species